UACGAAGGGCCCGAGCGUUGCGCGGAAUCAUUGGGCUUAAAGCGUACGCAGGCGGGCGCGCAGGCGUUUUUGUGAAAUCCCUCGGCUCAACCGAGGAACUGCUUGACGAACCGCGCGUCUUGAGGCAAGUAGGGGCUGUCGGAACGAUAGGUGGAGUGGUGAAAUGCGUUGAUAUCUAUCGGAACGCCGAAGGAGAAAUCAGGCAGCUGGGCUUGUUCUGACGCUGAGGUACGAAAGCGUGGGGAGCGAACGGGAUUAGAUACCCGCGUA
rnacentral:rRNA from 1 species